rnacentral:ncRNA from 1 species
UUUCUUCAGGGCAGGGUGAAAGUCCCUACCGGCGGUAAGUCCGCGAGCCGUAAGGCAUGAUUCGGUGCGAUUCCGAAACCGACAGUACAGUCUGGAUGAGAGAAGAA